CCCACCUUAACGAUAUGUCAAGGAUGUUUUUCAUGUCAGAUCUUAAAUGUGUACUUCUUUCUCUUAUUUAUUUUGUAUUUAUUUAUUUAUUUUCCCAGACAGAAUCUCGCUCUGUCACCCAGCCUGGAAUGCAGUGGCGUGAUUAGGGUUCAUUACAGCCUCUACCUCCUGGACUCAAGUGAUCCUCCCACCUCAACCUCUCGAGUAGCAGGGACUAUAGGCAUGAACCACCAUGCCUGGCUAAUUUACUUUUUAUUUUUUGUAGAGAUGGAGUCUCAUUAUGUUGUCUAGGCUUGUUUUUAACUCCGGAGCUCAAGCAAUCCACCUGCCUGGGCCUGCCAAAGCGCUGAGAUUACUGGCAUGAGCCGCCAUGCCCGGACUUUGGGUCUUAUGUUUGUUACCUUUAAAUUCGAAAUGAGACUGGUUCCUACCUGCCUACCUGUGGGGCUGCUAUGAGAAUUCGAUGCACAAGUUCCCAUAAUCCCCACAUGUCUUGGGAGGAACCCGGUGAAAGGUAAUUGAAUCAUGGAGGCGGUUACCUCCGUGCUGUUCUCGUGAUGGUGAGUGAGUUCUGACAAGAUCUGAUGGUUUUAUAAGGGACUUUUCCCCAACUUCGCUCUGAACUUCUUGCUGCUGCCAUAUGAAGAAAGAUGUGUUUGCUUCCCCUUCCACCAUGAUUGUAAGUUUCCUGAGGCCUCCCCAGCCCAGUGGAACUGUGAAUUAAUUAAAC
rnacentral:lncRNA from 1 species